rnacentral:rRNA from 1 species
UACGUAGGGGGCAAGCGUUGUCCGGAAUCAUUGGGCGUAAAGGGCGCGUAGGCGGAUAUUUAAGUCUGGUGUGAAAACCUAGGGCUCAACCCUGGGACUGCAUCGGAAACUGGGUAUCUUGAGGACAGGAGAGGAAAGUGGAAUUCCACGUGUAGCGGUGAAAUGCGUAGAUAUGUGGAGGAACACCAGUGGCGAAGGCGCUUUCUGGACUGUAACUGACGCUGAGGCGCGAAAGCGUGGGGAGCAAACAGG